rnacentral:rRNA from 1 species
AUAUCAAUAAGCGGAGGAAAAGAAACCAACAGGGAUUGCCUCAGUAACGGCGAGUGAAGCGGCAAAAGCUCAAAUUUGAAAUCCCCCCGGGGAGUUGUAAUUUGAAGAUUGCGUCUUGGAGGCGACCGUGUCUAUGUUCCUUGGAACAGGACGUCACAGAGGGUGAGAAUCCCGUGCGGCACGGCCCCCGGCUCCUUAUAAGGCGCUCUCGACGAGUCGAGUUGUUUGGGAAUGCAGCUCAAAGUGGGUGGUAAAUUCCAUCUAAAGCUAAAUACAGGCGAGAGACCGAUAGCGAACAAGUACAGUGAUGGAAAGAUGAAAAGCACUUUGAAAAGAGAGUGAAACAGCACGUGAAAUUGUUGAAAGGGAAGGGCAUGCCGUCAGAUUGUCAGUGUGGGUAAGAAGCGGGGUACAAAGACUGUGGAACGUGGCCCUCGGGUGUUAUAGCCGCAGUUCAUGCCCCGUCUCUUUCCGAGGCCUGCUUUGAGGACACCGACGUAAUGACGGUA